GACGAACGCUGGCGGCGUGCUUAACACAUGCAAGUCGAACGGAAAGGCCCUGCUUUUGUGGGGUGCUCGAGUGGCGAACGGGUGAGUAACACGUGAGUAACCUGCCCUUGACUUUGGGAUAACUUCAGGAAACUGGGGCUAAUACCGGAUAGGAGCUCCUGCUGCAUGGUGGGGGUUGGAAAGUUUCGGCGGUUGGGGAUGGACUCGCGGCUUAUCAGCUUGUUGGUGGGGUAGUGGCUUACCAAGGCUUUGACGGGUAGCCGGCCUGAGAGGGUGACCGGCCACAUGGGGACUGAUAUACGGCCCAGACUCCUACGGGAGGCAGCAGUGGGGAAUAUUGCACAAUGGGCGGAAGCCUGAUGCAGCAACGCCGCGUGCGGGAUGACGGCCUUCGGGUGGUAAACCGCUUUCGCCUGUGACGAAGCGUGAGUGACGGGAAUGGGGAAAGAAGCACCGGCUAACUACGU
rnacentral:rRNA from 1 species